UUGACAGUGUACUUGUGGCCAGACCUAGAUUUGAGGAUAAAAGCUCAGUGCCAGGUGACAGGCAUUUGUUCUCUCAGAGUUAAGCCAGGCCCUGGAGGCGGGGAAACUCAGGGUAGAACAGAGUCUUCACCCAACUCAGGACUGUUCUCUGGUUUCAAAGCUCGAGUGUGUCUUGUAUCUCGUGGGCUGGGGAUGUCACUCAGCUGGUAUGCUUGCUCCGUAUGCACAAACUCCUGCAUUUGUUUCCUAGCACCAAACCGUUGGCUUUUGGUGAGAAUCCCAGCAGAUGGAGUCAGGAGUCGUAGGCCAUUCUUGGCUUCAUAGGGGGUUUGAGGCCAGCCUGGGCUACGUGAGACCUUACUGUCUAAAAAAAGAAAAAAAA
rnacentral:lncRNA from 1 species